rnacentral:rRNA from 1 species
AGAGUUUGAUCAUGGCUCAGGACGAACGCUGGCGGCGUGCUUAACACAUGCAAGUCAAGGGGGCCCGCAAGGGCAACCGGCGAACGGGUGCGUAACACGUGAGCAACCUGCCUUAGUGUGGGGAAUAGCCGGCCCAACGGCCGGGUAAUACCGCAUACGAUUCUUGGGGGGAGUCCCCUGGGAAGGAAACCUUUUGGGCACUGAGAGGGGCUCGCGGCCUAUCAGCUAGUUGGCGAGGUAACGGCUCACCAAGGCGACGACGGGUAGCUGGUCUGAGAGGAUGGCCAGCCACAUUGGGACUGAGAGACGGCCCAGACUCCUACGGGAGGCAGCAGUGGGGAAUCUUGCGCAAUGGUCGAAAGACUGACGCAGCGACGCCGCGUGUGGGAGGAAGCCUUUCGGGGUGUAAACCACUGUUGCCCGGGACGAACAUCCCUUUUCGAGGGGACUGACGGUACCGGGUGAGGAAGCACCGGCUAACUCCGUGCCAGCAGCCGCGGUAAUACGGAGGGUGCGAGCGUUGUCCGGAAUCACUGGGCGUAAAGCGUGCGCAGGCGGUUUUGUAAGACAGGCGUGAAAUCCCCGAGCUCAACUUGGGAAUGGCGCUUGUGACUGCAAGGCUAGAGUAUGUCAGAGGGGGGUAGAAUUCCACGUGUAGCAGUGAAAUGCGUAGAGAUGUGGGGGAAUACCGAUGGCGAAG